UGGUGCAAUUUGGCAGCACGACGGUCUUUGGAACCGUAUGUUGCAGGUUCGAGUCCUGCCCCGCCUGCGA
rnacentral:tRNA from 1 species